CAACGGACUUUUAAUCCGUAGGUCCAGGGUUCGAAUCCCUGCCGACUCACCA
rnacentral:tRNA from 1 species